UCUGUUAAGCCCUUGCCAAAAAUCAAUUUCAUAUGCUAUCAGGUCGAAACCCUAAUCUCUCUAGAAAAACUAUUGCAUCUUAUCCCAAUUCAGGUUCUUAAUCAACAUGAUUCAUAUGCUUACAUGGAUUUUAGAGCACUAUGAUCGAAUGCUAAGGUAUUACAAACUGGAGUCGGAAAUCGCACAUGCACUUCAGCCUCACAUCUUCAUUUUCUUGCUUUCUUCUUCUGAUUCUUGAUGAUCAUUCCCAAAAUCGAAAAGAAAAAAAAAUAGAAACAUUAAACCCCAGUUGGGUAACCACGAAACUGAUGAAAGAUGUUGAUUUGAGCCAAUAGAAACACUCUUGAAGAAUAGGGGCCAGAAUUGACAAGAAUUGGAACUUUGGAGGAUGGAAGCUUAAAAGAAGAAAAUUCCAGCGAAAAACCCAAAUCACGACCUGGCCAUCAAAAUCACGACGUGGAGUGAGUAUUCUGAAAGAUAAAAACGCGGGAAGUCAGAAUCUUUGCCCGAUAAGGAUUGUACCAAAGUCAUGCCAUCACAUCCUUGUUCACGUCGUGGAGCACGGAAUUUUCAAAACUAUAAAUACUCCUUCAUUGUUACGUUUUGAGGAGACUUUUUUGAAAGGUUUUUGGAGAGUUUUUUUGGAAGAGAAUUAUUCUGAGAAACCGAAUUUAAAGUCUAGAAAGUGCACAAAACAUCAUUGGAAGGAGAAUUGCUUGGAGAUCGAGAGAUAGACCUCUUCUUUUUGUAGGAAACGAAACUCAAGUGAAAAAUAUAAUUAAAAAUAUUAGUCA